rnacentral:sRNA from 1 species
AAAUAGCCCGGAUAGCAGUGGAAAUCCUUUUUUGAGGUUUUUCACCGAAAAAAAGAUUGCAACGGAUAGCCGGAAUAGCU